rnacentral:tRNA from 1 species
GCAGGUAGUUCAGUGGUAGAGCAUGUGCCUAGCAUGUGUAAGACCUUGGGUUCAAUCCCCAGCACUGCA